rnacentral:rRNA from 1 species
AUUGAACGCUGGCGGCAUGCCUUACACAUGCAAGUCGAACGGUAACAGGUCUUCGGAUGCUGACGAGUGGCGAACGGGUGAGUAAUACAUCGGAACGUGCCUAGUAGUGGGGGAUAACUACUCGAAAGAGUGGCUAAUACCGCAUGAGAUCUACGGAUGAAAGCAGGGGAUCGCAAGACCUUGUGCUACUAGAGCGGCCGAUGGCAGAUUAGGUAGUUGGUGGGAUAAAAGCUUACCAAGCCGACGAUCUGUAGCUGGUCUGAGAGGACGAUCAGCCACACGGGGACUGGGGCACGGCCCAGACUCCUACGGGAGGCAGCAGUGGGGAAUUUUGGACAAUGGGCGAAAGCCUGAUCCAGCAAUGCCGCGUGCAGGAUGAAGGCCUUCGGGUUGUAAACUGCCUUUGUACGGAACGAAAAGCCCCGGGUUAAUACCCUGGGGUCAUGACGGUACCUAACCAGAAAGCCACGGCUAACUACGUGCCAGCCGCCGCAGUAA